rnacentral:rRNA from 1 species
CAACUUACAGCGAUGGAUCUCUAGGCUCUGGUGUCGAUGAAGAACGCAACGAAUUGCGAAAAUUAGUGUGAUUCGUAACACGUGAAUCAUCGAGUCUUUGAACGCACAUUGCACCGUUUACCUUUGGCUAACGGUAUGCCUGUUUGAGCGUCACUA